UAGUGUCUUUUCUUUCUUUGUUUGUUUGUUUUGGGGUGGAGGGGAACCUGUUUCUUCUGGGGGUAGACCACCAGCGAUUCGUACCUCCUCAGAAGAAUUGCUACCCCGAAUCUGCACAAUUUAGAAGAAUGCGCCGACGGCUGCUGGGGUGGGAGCAGAGAGAUGCAGCGGGACCAGCCACAGAGUUCUGGCAUCAGAUUGUAGCUUGACUGUCUAGUGUACUAGGAAAAAAUCAGAACUGCAUUAUGGGAUGAAGAUGUACUUCCUUGACUGCACCGUGCAUCCCCAUACAGACACUUGGUCAGAUCACUUAUUUUCUUCAGGCUCUUCUGUAGUGGUGGUGAAAUCAGAUGAAGUAAAGAUGAAUGAAAACAUUAAGAAGAGCCAUCUGAACAGAGAAGAUGAAAAACAAUUGGAAAGGAGAAAGGGAACAAAGGAUGACAACAUUUGACGAUCAAGGACCCUCACUAAGUUAGUUACACAGGAGGUGGAUCUCAGCUCUCUAGAGGCCCAGAAUAAUGUUGUACCCUCU